rnacentral:misc_RNA from 1 species
GAUGAAGAACGUAGCAAAAUGCGAUACUUGGUGUGAAUUGCAGAAUCCCGUGAACCAUCGAGUUUUUGAACGCAAGUUGCGCCCGAAACCAUCCGGUUGAGGGCACGCCUGCCUGGGCGUCACGCAUCGCGUCGUCCCCCAACAUACUCUCCCUUUCUGGGUUGUCAUGUUGAUUGGGGACGGAGACUGGCCUCCCGUGCUUCUGGUGCGGUUGGCCUAAAUAGGAGGCCCCUUCGGUGGAUACACGGCUAGUGGUGGUUGUUAAGACCCUCGUAUUGUGCUAUGUGUUGUGAGCUGUUAGGGAAACCCUCACCAAAGACCCUAUUGUAUCGUCUUGGUACGAUGCUUCGACCGCGACCCCAGGUCAGGCGGGACUACCCGCUGAGUUUAAGCAUAUCAAUAAGCGGAGGA